rnacentral:tRNA from 1 species
GGUUCUAUAGUGUAACGGUUAGCACUCCAGACUUUGAGUCUGGCAAUCCGGGUUUAAAUCCCGGUAGAACCU